rnacentral:rRNA from 1 species
ACACAAAGAGUGGAACCUGCGGCUUAAUUUGACUCAACACGGGAAAACUCACCAGGUCCAGAUACACGUAUGAAAGACAAGCUGAAAGACUUUUCUCAAUGAUGUAAGUGGUGGUGCAUGGUCGUUCGUAGUUCGUGGAUUGAUUUGUCUGGUCUAUUCCGAUAACGAGCGAGACCCCGGCGUUCCUAAUAGGGGUGGCAGCCCGGCUUGCCGCAAGGCUUGCUAGCAGCCGCUUAAGAUUUACUUCUUAGACGUAUCAGAGCCGAUAAGGUUCUUGAAAUGGGUUAAUAACAGGUCAGUCAUGCCCUUAGAUGUUCUGGGCCGCACGCGCGUUACAAUGGCACGUAUAGAAAGUGCCUACAAAGGGCGUAUCCGGAGCCUAACGGUUCCGGUAACCCUUAGUCCCUGCCUUGACUGGGACAGACUAUUGCAAUUAUUGGUCUCAAACGAGGAAUUUUUAGUAGUCGCAGGUCAUUAACCUGCGACGAAUGCGUCCCUGCCC